GACUUAUCCGUCUGAGAAGUUGCGAACCUUACCAGUCUCCGUUAUAGGCUGAAAGGAGAUUAAUACUCUAAAAACUUACAAUAAGCGAAAAAAGAUAUUGCUUGUGGCUGUUUCACAUCUUAUUGGGAAUAGCUUCGUCAGAAUGAUCUCAGCGCCAAAAUCCACAGGGAAAACGAUCUUUCCCUGUCAGAUGACAAUUUACAGUUGAGCGAUUGAUUAAUAAUUCCUCGUCCACUUCGACAUAAAGUUGAGAGGAAGUCUAUAAAUAUUGAAAUCCUCUCAACUUUCCAUGCCAAAGCACAAGGCUCACAGAGUCGCCCCUUGAUAGAGAAGCGGAAUCUAAACAAUUCUGUCGAGGACUUGAGACAGUACCUGGACGAAGAAGCUAAGAAAAUCCAGAAUGGACAGGUUGAGAGAACAAGUCCUGGGGGACCUGACCCACAACAUCACUUCAUAAAUAACUAGUUUAAAACUUUGUAGUAGGAGGUGGUUUCUUCUGUAACGAGUAAAACAGGAUUGGUAUAUAUCUCCUUCUUCAUGUGGAUUUUAUUUCUUGUUACCUUUCCCUCUUUCUCUCUUUUCUUUCUUGAAUAUGGAGAAAACAACAUCAAUAUGUGGGUUUCACUUGGAAAUGGAGGAAAUGUCAAAUACCUGUUAGAUAUGAAAAAUCCUCUUCUCGUAGGGCCUGGUGGGUUGACAUAUGCUUGUACUACCUUUAAUAGAUUAAAUGAAUGUUUCACUUUUUAAUCUUUA